UGUAUAUUACAUGAUCUUUUAUCAGAAAAAAUUAAUAAAACAGAACCAAUUUCAUGAAAAUGCUGUUGCCUUAAUGCUCAGGAGAACAGGGGGAAGAAAGAGAGUCAAGUCUUCUUAAUGGCAACCUUACAUGCAGGGCUUACUCCUGGCUCUAUGCACAAUUAUCACUCCUGGAAGGCUCAUGGACCUUAUAGAUGACAGAGAUUGAACUCGGGUUAUCUACAUAUAAGUGGGAGCUUCUCUCUUCAACCAACAUAAGCAAAAUUCUUCUGUAUAGCCAACACUGAAAUAUCAUCUUUGGUGAUACAGCAAAAAGCAGCUCUGGCUUCUACACUCCAGAAGGUAAUGUCAGAAAACAGAAGAAACAAAAUAAACCAGAGUGGUAGAAGGCAGCUCUAACAUUACCAAAAUAGAGAAACAAGGACAUAAAGGACAAAAUAGGUU